rnacentral:lncRNA from 1 species
GCCCACAAGAAUUUAAUCUUUGUUAUGAACUCCCACUGAAUUACAAUGAUUUUAGCAUCAUUGACAUUCCAUUUGAAUGGAUUUGAUUACACCAUUGUAGAGCAAUAUGUGAAUGUUCAAUCUGCUGAUGAACAAUGUACCAAAGAAUCCAGCAGUAAGUGCUGCUGCUCUAUGAUUUGGGAUACCGUUCCUGUAAUACCAAUUAUUUGCCCUGCCCAAUCAAUAAUAAAAUACAAUAGCAGGCCCAAUAAAAUUAAAACCCAAUAGCCGAUUUCAACCCUAGUCCAACAGAAAAUGCCCCAAAACACCAGCAAGAAGCCUAGGCGCAGCAGCUCCCACACGCACGCCGCAACAGCGCCCGCACACCGUGUUUGUCGCUCCGCGCCCGUCGCGCGCACUCCACGGUCACCAAACCUGCGAAAAAGGGGUACACAAGCACAGCAAAUAACAGAAAGAAGUGGGGUUUUUGAUUUUUUUUUUCAGAUUUUUAGUUUUAAUCGGCUAUAUAAAGUCGAUGAAAGUCUGUAACAAAGGGGGAGGGACUUUUUUCGGUGUAAAAUAUAUUCGAAAACAGAGAGAAUAUUGAGAAUACAAAGAAUAUUUUUCAAAAGGUGAUUUUAUUUUUUCCGAUUUUUCUUUGAUUUUACUGUUUUUUUAUUAUUAUUUUGCUAUCUUCUUCUUUUCUUUCUCCUUUUAAAAAAUAAUAAUAAACAAAACGAAAAGGAUAAGCAAAGGAGGACUUACUAUCGUGAGGGUCGUCGGGAGACCUCUCCUUUUUGUCGUUAUCGGAGUGAAAGGAGUCUGAAAUGGCAUAGAGGGAGAGGAGCUGCGGCAAUUUCAAAAGUGGCAGAAGAGAGUUAUUUUUAGGGUUUGAAAUGGGUUUUAUUGGCUGCAAAUGAAAUGGAUUUUAACUUUUAAACAUUGAUGGGUUAUUUUCGUUUAUAAUCCUUUCAUGUUUCCCAUCAUUUCAAAACCAUUGUUUUUAUCGUUUUCAAAUUUUUCCAUGACAUAUUAAAUCUGUUCUAUUUUAAUCCCAUGCUGCACAACGUUUUGGAAGGGAGGGAUUAAUUUCCCUUCUGGCCCUCCAUGUUGCACGCAUUUUGCGAAUUCAUCCUCUGCUUUAAUUUGAUUUUGUGUUUUAAUUCUGUUUUGAUUCAAAUUUAGUCCAUUGUAUUUGCUUUUACAAAUUAGAUUAUAUAUUAGUUUGUAAUAUUGUUCUUGUUAUUAAGUUGCUGUUAUUUUUGUUAUUAUAUUAUAUAUUACUAUUAUUAUUAUUAUUAUACAUAUAUACACGCAUAUGUUUGUAUUUUAUAUAUGUAUAUAUAUUUUAAAUGUUUUUAAAAUACGUGUACAUAUUUUAUAUAUUUUAUUACUAUAUUAUCUUCUUAGUUUUUUAUAUAUAGUUUAUAUAUGUAUAUAAAUUUACAUUUUAUAAUACAUAUACAUUUUUCCAUUUUAUAAUUCAUACAUAUUUUCACAUACAUGUAUAUAUUUUCGUAGUUUAUUUAUAUAUUAUAUAUAUUGUUUUGUUUUUCUUUGUAAAUAUAUAUAUGCGUAUUUUUAUACUUUUAUUUUGUUUUCAACACAUGUAUUUGUAUUUGUUUUAUUUGAUAUAUUCCAUUCUCUCUUUUUAGAUGUAUGCUGGUAUGUGUGUUUGAUAUAUGUGUACAUAUGUUUGCAACUUUACUGAUAUAUUGUAUUUGUAUAUAUAUAUUUGCGAAUAUUUAUUCGUAUAUGCUGUAAAUUAAAGGAUCUGUAUCAUAUUGCAUAAUAACUUUAACAUACCCUUUUGAAAAUAUUUUUUGGUUUUAACCAUUCAUCAAGGUUAUUUUCUUGAUUUAAAGGUUUUUUUUUUUGAAUAAAAGCAUUAUUUGAGGUUUGGGAUUUUCGAGGGAAAUUGAGCCCUAACGUAUUGGGUUCUAAUUUUCUUUGUCAAUUUUAAAUGACCGAGAAUAUUCUUUAUUCAAAAUGCAUUAGUAUAAAAAUCAUUUUUGGGAACUUAACUUGUUGUGCCCUAACGUAUUGGGUGUGGCCUGUUACUUUCUCGAAAUGAAGAUUUUCGCAUAAAAUAAAAGUGAUAUUCAAAGUUCAGGGAUUAUGAGGAAUCAUACCCUAACGUAUUGGGACCCGAUUUCUUUACAUGACUUGAACAAUUGGUUAUCCUUUUGCAAAUUUCAUCAUUCAAGCUUAUUUUUAAAUUUUUUUUAAAUUUCGACACUAAGACAUCAAAUAAUCAAUUUGGUACCGAUUUUGGGCGUUACGAUGGUGCUAACCCUUCCUCGUGCGUAACUGACUCCCAGACUCGUUUUCUCAAAAUUCAUAGGCCAAAAUAUUUUUUUAAGGUGGGCCGAUCACACCUUAAUAAAAGGAUCGGUGGUGACUCCAGUUUUAUUUUUUUUUUAAAGUCGACAACUAAGUUUUUGUUUUCAAAAAACGGUUUCGACAGCUUGGCGACUCCGCCGGGGACACUAGAGAGUCGAGCCAUGAAUUGAUUAUGUUUUGUCUUUUUGUCGAAAAUCAAAAGUUUUUAAAAAAAUCAUGAUUUCCCUUCGCAUUCAUUGAUCUUUUAUCAUGGAAUGUCGGCUACUUUGCAUUUACAUUUGCAUUUUUACAUUGCAUGGUCCGUUUUACCCCUUUAAGUGGGAGCGAGAAACUAGUCCUUCGUGAGGUUUUCACCUCCGUGCAGGGUAGUGGACCGCUUCCGGGAUACAUCCGUACCUAUGUCUUCGUGAGAUUUUCAUCUCCGUGCAGCCAUAGGGAAAUGUAUCCCCCUGAACCGAACUCGAUCUAUAUGAGCCUAUAAUGGGUGAAGAUCGAGGAAUCUGCUGGUUCGGGUACCUUUACCUUAGAAGCCAAACCGCAUAUAGUGAACUUUAGGAACUUACCCUAGGUAGAAUUACUCUAAACCUUAGUAGAUACCUGACUAGGAGUUUUUAUUAUUUCUUGAUUGUAUUGGAUUUAAUGUUUAUACCCGAUACUAACUCAUUUUGUUUUGUUUUGGUUAUGAUUGCAUUGUAUUUGCAUUGUAGAAAAGAGAUGUUGAUUCAAGUUUGAUUACUAGUUUAGAAAGCCUAUCAUAAGAAAACGGGUUUCUUGAUAAAAUGGAAAAUAGUACGGCAGCCUGAAUAUAUUCCAAGAAAUACAAGAAGGGCGAUGGAAGAAUUCGUGACUUUACUUUGAGGCCCGAGGAUUCAAGAUGAUUUGUCUAAGAGCAUUCAACAUUCCAAAUUUCUUAAAGAAGCUAAUGAGCAUUACGAGGAUAGGCAGACAACGGAUUGCGACCAGAAUCAAGCAGAAGGAGCUAGCAGUGACAUCUAUUGGAAGUUCGCGAGGUUUAUCUUAACAUCCGAAUGAAAAAGGAGAAGAUGUCUUCGCUUCGAGUAUGAGGGCAAAGCCGUAUAUAUAUCCGCUUUAUGUAAAGAAAUUUGUCCUCUAGUAAGGUUUUCUAAAUGGAAUUGAAUCAGAAUCAACGUCUCUUUAUGCAUUCAUUUCAUGCAUUCGCAUUUCAUUACAUCAUAUGCAUCAAAGAUUAUUCAAAGAUCCUAAUUAACUAAAAUCAUUGCUCAGUUAACCUGGAAUCCAACCAACCAACCCAACACCGAUACGGCACUCGAGCAAAGACAAAAUAUAUGGAUCAGAGAUUAGAAAAGCUCGAACAGUACCAGAAGGAGAUGCAAGACCGGCUUCAGCUACAAAUGCAGGAGUGGUUAGACAAGAUGAAACAAGAGAUGUCUGAGAAGAUGCGAGAAUCCCAAGAAGAUAUAGUGGCAAAGUUAACCCAACUGAUAACUAAGGGAAGUGAUAAAGGAAAGGGCCCCAUGGCAAAUGUCGAUGAGGGAAAUGAUGAUGAACCUUUCUAUCCUCCAGGUCUUACCCCUCCACAUGUGCGAACUCAAGCUGAAUACCCGCGCAAAUCUACUGUCACCAUCAUGCCGCAGCAGUUUCGGGCUGGUGUUUCGAACUCCCAGGCUGGACCGGGUUCUAAUCUCGAAAAUAACCCUGUUAACUCUGUCAUUCCUGACUUUGAUGAAGUGGUUGAGAAGGAAAGAAUGAAGGAGGAGCUACCGAAAUAGUUAGAGGAAAGGUGUAGGUGGCUAGAGGAGAAAUUCAAGGCGAUGGAAGUCACUGAAAGCUAUCGCGGGAUUGACGCUAAAGAGCUAAGUUUAGUUCCAGGUUUGGUACUCCCUCACAAGUUUAAGAUGCCAGAAUUCGAGAAGUACAAUGGGACAACUUGCCCAGAAGCUCAUAUCGCCAUGUUCUGCAAACGAAUAGCGGGAUAUGUUAACAACGACCAACUCCUGAUACAUUGUUUCCAAGACAGCCUUGUAGGGGCAGCAUCCAAAUGGUACAAUCAGUUGAGUCGUGCCACGAUUGGUUCAUGGAGGGACCUGGCACAAUCGUUCAUGAAACAAUAUAGUCAUGUGACAGACAUGGCUCCUGAUAGAAUCACCCUUCAAAACAUGGAGAAGAAACCGAGUGAAAGCUUCAGGCAGUACGCACAGAGAUGGAGGGAGGUUGCGGUCCAAGUUCAGCCACCGCUCUUAGAGAAAGAAAUAACCAUGCUGUUCAUUAACACACUGAAGGCACCAUUCAUUAUACAUAUGUUAGGGAGUGCCACAAAAAGCUUUCCCGACAUAAUCAUGAAUGGUGAGAUGAUCGAAAAUGCCAUAAGAAAUGGAAAGAUCGAUGCUGGAGAGAGUAACAAGAGGUCAGUCUCAAGGAGAAGAGAAGAUGAAGUGAACAACAUGAGUUACUCUAAAUCAGUUACUGUAAGUCAGCCAAGAAAGGUGGCUGCUAACCAGCAAGGUUCAUCAAGACAAGAAGCUGGUACAGGACAAAACACAGAGAGGCCCCGAUUCACGCCAAUUCCAGUACCAUAUAGGAAACUGUAUCAAAAUCUGUUUGAUGCCCAUGUUGUUUCUCAUUUUCCUGUGAAGCCUCUACAACCUCCGUAUCCCAAAUGGUAUGAUACGAACGCGCAAUGUGAAUACCAUGCGGGAAUUACGGGACACUCGAUUGAGAAUUGCACUGCCUUCAAGAAGUAAGUUGAAAGACUCAUCGACAUGGGUGUUGUCAAGUUUGGUGACUCAUCAAGUACCGAAAAUCCAUUACCCAAUCAUGAUUGAUAAUGGAGGGAAUGCAAUGCUUUCUGGUCAGAUAUUCGCCUGGGAGGUGUUAAAAAUAAUGGGACUGCAGAGGAAACCCCUAUAUUAUUUAGAGUCUGUUAAAGUAAUGUUCAGAACACAUUUGUUGCUUUUAGCCUAGAAGAAAUGAGAACUCCUUUGUGAAAUAGGCUCAUGUCUGAACAUUAUUAUUUUUAAUGAAUACAUUAUUGCAAUCAUCUUUGAGCAAAUGUUCUUUCAGUCUUUACGUUUUCUUCAUUCUAUUGGAUUUCUCCUGCCAAAUCAUUCAUUCGUUCAUUCAUAUUACUCAUACAUUCUUUUUUAUAUUUUUUGGUACCCACUAUGGGUCCCCAAAUAUCAAUGACAUGAAUGACGCUGCUACAGAUUUAGAAUCUCCUUUUGAGUGAGACAUGUGUUUAGAGGGAUCUCACAACUUUGAAGAUGGCAUGGAUCGUAUCUUAUUUCUGGACUUAUUAAGGAUGGUAGAGCAGGAAGAAAAUUUUACCUCAUGAGGAGACAAUAGAAACUGUGACCUUGAGGGAACAUGCAUGACCGAAAAAGCAAUACGUUGUUGGGUUACUUCAAGCAUUCGAAGAUGCCUUCGCAUGGUGAUACCAGGAUGUACCCGGUUUAAGCGCCGUCAUUGCAAUCUGAACAACAGCACGAUAUCAGAAAUUUACAGUAUGUUCAAGGUGAAUAUCAUGAAUGGUGCAAUGAAAACUCUACCGGGGCAAUGCCACUCUUUCCAGUUUAUCGCGUUUUUUUAUUGAAGUUGAAAUUCUUUCUCUUCGAGUUUUGGCUGAGGUGAAGUAGGAUGAAGAUCCAAUCCCGAUACGACUAGUUAAACCUAGUUGAAGAAAAAGGCUAGAAACUAUUCAUCAAGGUCAGAUAUACCAAGAAAUGAAUGAUGCGAGCCUAUAAUAAAAGGUUUGUCCUAGAGAAUUCCACGAUGGCGACCUAAUACUGAAGAAGCUCCUCACUCUACAAAAAAAUAUAACGGAUGCCAAAUUAGGAAAAACCUUAUGUUAUAGAGAAGGUCUUUUCCAAAGGAGCUUUAAUUUUGAGUAAGAUGGAUGAUAAACCUGCAAAGUCCUGUAAACUCAGAUUCAGUCAGGAAAUACUUUGCUUAAAGAAGGAGAGGACCAAGGUAAAAACCCGCAAAGGGCAGUUUGAGUCUCAAAAAAAAAGGAAAAAAGAAAAAAAGAAGUGAUGAAAAUGAAAAUGAAAAAGUAAAAAUAGAGAGGCUAAGGUGAAAACUCGCAAAGGGCGCCUUAGACCAAAGGGGAUUUGAGUUGAAAACCCAAAAAGGGCGGCUCAAAUAUUGAUCAGAAUGGGGCAUGAAGUAAUCAGAGCAGCUCAAAUACUGAUCAGAAUGGGAUAUGCAGUGGUCUUGCUAUACCAGAAUCAGCAGGAAAGGGUAUGCGACAUCUUGGGGCAUCGGUAGAGUAUGGUAGAUCUCCUAAACACAUGUCAAACCCAGAAAGGUCUUCAGCAAGUUUGUACAGAAAAGUUCAAGCUACGAUAUCUGGGGCACCUAAUCCUUAUACCAUUUUUGUUAUUCUUGGAACACUUCAUUCAUUUCCAAGAUACACAUUUCUAAAUCCAUUUCUUUGUCAUUUAUCUUUAUUAUCUUUGACAACUUAUUCAUUUCAAGCUAUGCUCAGAACCAACUCUAUUCUUAUCCAUAAUCUUUUUUGCAAGCAUGUUGCAUUAGAAUAAUGAUUAAUGGACUAAUAAAACUUUCACAAGGGAAGUUUUGCAUAUUACUCUAAAAGCUUCUAAAUAAUAUAGGAACCUCAAACAGGACUAUUGUUUAGAACGCACCAGGUUGGAAAUCUGAUAAGGAAAAGUCUAAAUUCAGACUAUCCCUUUGAGUUUUUGCUAUCUAAAACAUCGAUUGAACAAUACGGCAAGAUGUCGUGUUGGUGACAAAGCUUCAAUGAACAAGCAAGCAAUGAUCACCGAAUAAUAAGAAGAAGUUGUUCUUGGAGAAGAUUUCUUCAUUUGUACAUGAGCAUUUGGUGCAUCACCCUGGGAAUGGUGUAAAAAACCAAAAAGUUUCAUAUCAUGUAUCCUUGAAUUGUGAUAAUAGAGGAUUGAGAAAAGGCCAAAUCUUUUACUCUUGGGUUACAACGGGAAAAGAUGGUACAAAUUUUGCAUCCCAGUGGAUCAAACUUGGAGGUUUACAGUGGGAGGUAAUCUGGUCAAGUGCUUAUUGGGUUCGCCAACCGAGCAUAAAGGCGCUAUAGUACAUUAAGCGAUAGGACCUUAAUAAACUUGGAGUAAUAAUAACUCAAGCGUUAAAAUAUCAUUUUCAUGACAUUCUGCAUUCAUUCAAAUGUCAUUCAUACAUGUCUAGUUAGGAGCAUUGGAUUUAUUAUGAUCAUGACAUCCUAAUAACUAGGCAUAAUUAGGUUCAUAAAGUGAAUCAUACAGGUCAUGUUCCCCAGAGAACAGAUCGGUGAAAUCAUAAAGUCUUAUCUCCCUGAGCAACAACGGAGCAGGCUGAAAAGAAAAGCAGAUCUUGUCUUCAUGUACUGGAGUGAAGUAGAUCAAAGAUACCAGAUCUUGUUUUCCCAUACUGGUGGUGAAGUAGAUCGAAAAAGUAGAUCUUGUCUUCAUGUACUGGCGUGAAGUAGAUCAAAGAUACCAGAUCUUGUCUUCCCAUACUAAUGGCGAAGUAAAUCAGAAAAAACAGAUCUUGUUUUCAUGUACUGGCGUGAAGUAGAUCAAAGAUAGCAGAUCUUGUCUUCCCAUACUGGUGGCGAUGUAGAUCGAAGAAAAUAGAUCUUAUCUUUAUGUACUGGCGUGAAGUAGAUCAAAGAUAGCAGAUCUUGUCUUCCCAUACUGGUGGCGAAGUAGAUCGAAGAAAAUAGAUUUUGUCUUCAUGUACUGGCGUGAAGUAGAUCAAAGAUAGCAGAUUUUAUCUUCCCAUACUGGUGGCGAAGUAGAUCGAAGAAAAUAGAUCUUGUCUUCAUGUAAUGGCGUGAAGUAGAUCAAAGAUAGCAGAUCUUGCUUUCCCAUACUGGCGGCGAAGCAGAUCGAAGAAAGUAGAUCUUGUCUUCAUGUACUGGCGUGAAGUAGAUCAAAGAUACCAGAUCUUGUCUUCCCAUAUUGGUGGCGAAGCAGAUCGAAGAAAACAAAUCUUGUCUUCAUGUAUCGGCAUGAAGUAGAUCAAAUACAACAGAUAUUGUCUCCCCAUACUGGUGGUGGAGUAGGUCAAAGAAAACAGAUCGUGUUUUCAUGUACUGACGUGAAGUAGAUCAAAGAUAGUAGGUCCUGUCCUCCUAUAUUGGUAGCGAAGUGGAUCGAAUAUACAUAUUUUAUCUUCCCAUACUGGCGGCGAAGUAGAUUGAAGAUUACAGAUCUUGCCUCCCUAAGUAGUAGUGGAGCAGAUCGAAGAUGGCGGAUUUUACCUCCCUGAAGUUGCAGUGGAGUACAUUGAGGCCAGUAAUUCUUACUUCCUUAGCAGUGCAGUGGAACAGAUUGAAGCUACGACGGCGGAUCUGGUUUCCCCGACAUUGCAGUUGAACAAAUUGAAGUUUACAGAUCUUAUCUCCCUAAACAGUAGUGGAGCAGAUCGAAGAUGGCGGAUUUUACCUCCCUGAGGUUACAGUGGAGUACAUUGAAGCUAGUAAUUCUAUCUCCCUGGGUAGCAGUGGAAUAGAUUGAAAAUUACAGAUCUUAUCUCCCUAAGCAGUAGUGGAGCAGAUCGAAGAUGGCAGAUUUUACCUCCCUGAAGUUGCAUUGGAGCAGAUUAAAGUCUAUAAUCCUAUCUCCUUGAAGUUGCAAUGGAGUGGAUUAAAACCACAGAUCUCAUCUCUUUGAAGUUGCAGCAGAGCAGAUCGUAUCAGAUUUAUUUUGUAGCAGAACAAGUUGAAGCUAUAAGUCUUAUCUUCCUAAAGUUGCAGUGGAGCAGAUUAAAGAUAGCAAAUUUUGUUCUUCUGAGAAGUUACAAUGUACGAAUCAUAUCUCUCUGACAUUGCAGUAGAGUAGAUUGAAACACCAGUUCCUAUACCUCUGAAGAUGCAGUAGGAAUGAACGAGACUACUAAUGCUAAGGUCCAUACGGCCAGGCAAAAAUUGGUCUUUUUAAGUCUUUGCUCCAUUCUCGUCACACGAUAACGAGCAAAGAGGGGCAGCUGUAAUACCAAUUAUUUGCCCUGCCCAAUCAAUAAUAAAAUACAAUAGCAGGCCCAAUAAAAUUAAAACCCAAUAGCCAAUUUCAACCCUAGUCCAACAGAAAAUGGCCCAAAACACCAGCAAGAAGCCUAGGCGCAGCAGCUCCCACACGCACGCCGCAACAACGCCCGCACACCGUGUUUGUCGCUCCGCGCCCGUCGCGCGCACUCCACGGUCACCAAACCUGCGAAAAAGGGGGACACAAGCACAACAAAUAACAGAAAAAAGUGGGGUUUUUGAUUUUUUUUUCAUAUUUUUAGUUUUAAUCGGCUAUAUAAAGCCGAUGAAAGUCUGUAACAAAGGGGGAGGGAUUUUUUUCGGUGUAAAAUAUAUUCGAAAACAGAGAGAAGAUUGAGAAUACAAAGAAUAUUUUUCAAAAGGUGAUUUUAUUUUUUCUGAUUUUUCUUUGAUUUUACUGUUUUUUUUAUUAUUUUGCUAUCUUCUUCUUUUCUUUCUCCUUUUAAAAAAUAAUAAUAAACAAAACGAAAAGUAUAAGCAAAGGAGGACUUACUAUCGUGAGGGUCGUCGGGAGACCUUUCCGUUUUGUCGUUAUCGGAGUGAAAGGAGUCUGAAAUGGCAUAGAGGGAGAGGAGCUGCGGCAAUUUCAAAAGUGACAGAGGAGAGUUAUUUUUAGGGUUUGAAAUGGGUUUUAUUGGCUGCAAAUGAAAUGGAUUUUAACUUUUAAACAUUGAUGGGUUAUUUUCGUUUUUAAUCCUUUCAUGUUUCCCAUCAUUUCAAAACCAUUGUUUUUAUCGUUUUCAAAUUUUUCCAUGACAUAUUAAAUCUGUUCUAUUUUAAUCCCAUGCUGCACAACAUUUUGGAAGGGAGGGAUUAAUUUCCCUUCUGGCCCUCCAUGUUGCACGCAUUUUGCGAAUUCAUCCUCUGCUUUAAUUUGAUUGUGUUUUAAUUCUGUUUUGAUUCAAAUUUAGUCCAUUGUAUUUGCUUUUACAAAUUAGAUUAUUAUUAGUUUGUAAUAUUGUUCUUGUUAUUAAGUUGCUGUUAUUUUUGUUAUUAUAUUAUAUAUUACUAUUAUUAUUAUUAUUAUUAUACAUAUAUACACGCAUAUGUUUGUAUUUUAUAUAUGUAUAUAUAUUUUAAAUGUUUUUAAAAUACGUGUACAUAUUUUAUAUAUUUUAUUACUAUAUUUUCUUCUUAGUUUUUUAUAUAUAGUUUAUAUAUGUAUAUAAAUUUACAUUUUAUCAUACAUAUACAUUUUUCCAUUUUAUAAUUCAUACAUAUUUUCACAUACAUGUAUAUAUUUUCGUAGUUUAUUUAUAUAUUAUAUAUAUUGUUUUGUUUUUCUUUGUAAAUAUAUAUAUGCGUAUUUUUAUACUUUUAUUUUGUUUUCAACACAUGUAUUUGUAUUUGUUUUAUUUGAUAUAUUCCAUUCUCUCUUUUUAGAUGUAUGCUGGUAUGUGUGUUUGAUAUAUGUGUACAUAUGUUUGCAACUUUACUGAUAUAUUGUAUUUGUAUAUAUAUAUUUGCGAAUAUUUAUUCGUAUAUGCUGUAAAUUAAAGGAUCUGUAUCAUAUUGUAUAAUAACUUUAACAUACCCUUUUGAAAAUAUUUUUUUGUUUUAACCAUUCAUCAAGGUUAUUUUCUUGAUUUAAAGGUUUUUUUUUUAAAUAAAAGCAUUAUUUGAGGUUUGGGAUUUUCAAGGGAAAUUGAGCCCUAACGUAUUGGGUUCUGAUUUUCUUUGUCAAUCUUAAAUGACCGAGAAUAUUCUUUAUUCAAAAUGCAUUAGUAUAAAAAUCAUUUUUGGGAACUUAACUUGUUGUGCCCUAACGUAUUGGGUGUGGCCUGUUACUUUCUCGAAAUGAAGAUUUUCGCAUAAAAUAAAAGUGAUAUUCAAAGUUCGGGGAUUAUGAGGAAUCGUACCCUAACGUAUUGGGACCCGAUUUCUUUACAUGACUUGAACAAUUGGUUAUCCUUUUGCAAAUUUCAUCAUUCAAGCUUAUUUUUAAAUUUUUUUUAACUUUCGACACUAAGACAUCAAAUAAUCAAUUUGGUACCGAUUUUGGGCGUUACGAGGGUGCUAACCCUUCCUCGUGCGUAACUGACUCCCGGACUCAUUUUCUCAAAAUUCGUAGGCCAAAAUAUUUUUUUAAGGUGGGCCGAUCACACCUUAAUAAAAGGAUCGGUGGCGACUCCAAUUUUAUUUUUUUUUAAAAGUCGACAACUAAGUUUUUGUUUUCAAAAAACGGUUUCGACAGUUCCAAUGUGACUUACUAUACAUCAACGGUGUUCCAUGAUUACAAAAUGACCAAAACAACAAAACAUAAUAUGAUAUUUUUAUGAUUGAGUGAAACAUUGAAUAUCAAUGACAGAAGACAAAUCAAAACUACAAAAUAAUAAUGAUCCUAUUAUCAUGCAAAGCAGUUGCUGCUAUAUGAACCCAACAAUAAGGGCUACUCAAAAUCAAACCCACUACAUUCAAUGAAUAGUUCUAACACUGUUACAUAAACCAAAAAUGAAAGAGAGAAAUACAGAAAUAGCAGACAAUGAAUAAUUCUAACCAUAACACCAUAUCGCAUUUAAUUUCUCCAAAGUGCCACACAAAACCAAACAGUUCCAAUCAUAACAUAAGAAAUACUAGUGUACGACGACUUCACAUUUCUUUGAAUUCCUUGGUAACCUCAACAGUUUUUUCAAGAUGCACAAUUCAUGAUACGAGCCAAGGAGGUGACACUCAAGGGGUUGUUUUUUCUAGUGGUCCAAUCACUCGAAGCAAGGCACGAUAAUUAAAAUCAAAGAUGAAUGCUUUUGUCCAAGACUUUGUUGCUACAAAUUUAAUUCAUCAUGUUCGUGACAUUGACAAAUACGGGAAUGCAAUUCACUGGACCAUCUUGGAAUAGUGAAAGCCCAUAAAUUGGUGGAUUAAUCUUUUAUGUAUCUUAUUAUUAUUAUUUACUUAAUUCUCAUUGGUUGGGACACAUCAUUUAUGAGUUAAGUAAUUUUAUUGGUUAGGUUAUUAUUUAUUUAUUUUCUUAGAUAAUUUUAAAGAGUUAUAUUAGGAUUCAAUUACUCUUUAAAGAGUUUUUAUUAGGAUUCAAUUACUCUUGUAAUUUGCCUAUAAAUAGACUUGUUUUCUACACAUUUGGGGAGAAUAAAAAGAGAGUAUUUGUUUUCUUCCAAAUUUGUGUGAGGUAAAUUUUUGAGAGUAAAGUGAUUCUUCUCUUGCUGUUUAGUUUGGAGUUUGUUACUUUCGAGGGUAUUUCAGAGUUACAAAUAUUCAAAUUUCUUUCCCGUUCAUCGGUGUUUCUAGAGGUUCUUCUUCUAGGGGUUUCGUAGGGAGCCGCUCAAUCAUUGUCGUUUUUGGUUACAAGUUAACCAAGGGUCCCAUAGGGCAAAUCUAUCCUUUUAUUAUUAUUAUUAUUUAACUAAUUUUAUUUAUUCUCGUUUUAUUUCUAAUUUGUGUUUCUCUUGUGUCUAGAUCCGGGGUUUCCGCAUCAGUUGGUAUCAAAGCGUUCAUGCAAACUAAAUACCCUCGAAAGAAAUUUGAAUAUUUGUAACUCCGAAAUACCCUCGAAAGUAACAAACUCCAAACUAAAUAGCAAGAGAAGAAUCACUCUACUCUCAAAAAAAUUGCCUCACACAAAUUUGGAAGAAAACCAAUACUCUUUUUCUUAUCUCCCCUCAAUGUAUAGAAAGCAAGCCUAUUUAUAGGCAAAAUACAAGAGUAAUUGAACCCUAAUAAAACUCUUUAAAAUUAUCUAAGAAAAUAAAUAAAUAAAUAAUAACCUAACCAAUAAAAUUACUUAACUCAUAAGUGAUAUGUCCCAACCAAUGAGAAUUAAAUAAAUAAUAAUAAAAUACAUAAAAGAUUAAUCCACCAAUUUAUGGGCUUUCACUAUUCCAAGAUUGGUCCAGUGAAUUGCAUUCCCGUAUUUGUCAAUGUCACGAACAUGAUGAAUUAAAUUUGUCGCAACAAAGUCUUGGACAAAAACAUUCAUCUUUGAUUUUAAUUGUCGUGCCUUGCUUUGAGUGAUUGGGCCACUAGGAAAAACAACCCCUUGAGUGUCACCUCCUUGGCUCGUAUCAUUUAGUAACCCUAAUACACAUUUGCCUAGUUGUUUUGUUGAUCUUUUGCAGGAUUUUGAGGAUGUAUUUCCUUCUGAAAUGCCUAAGGGAUUACCUCCUUUACGAGGGAUUGAACAUCAAAUUGACUUUGUGCCUAGGUCGAGUAUUCCGGAUAGACCAGUCUAUCGAAGCAAUCCUGAAGAAACUAAAGAGUUGCAAAGGCAAGUUGAAGAUCUCUUAGAGAAAGGGUUGAUUCGUGAGAGUCUAAGUCCUUGUGCGGUUCCUGUACUUCUCAUCCCAAAAAAAGAUGGUUCUUGGAGAAUGUGUGUUGAUUGUCAUGCUGUCAACAAGAUUACGGUAAAGUAUCGAUAUCCAAUUCCUCGAUUAGAUGAUAUGUUGGAUGAGCUUAAUGGUGCAUGCAUUUUCUCUAAAAUUGACUUAAAAAGUGGUUACCAUCAAAUAAGAAUGAAACAAGGUGAUGAAUGGAAAACUGCUUUUAAGACUUAGUAUGACCUGUAUGAGUGGUUAGUCAUGCCAUUUGGCUUAACUAAUGCUCCUAAAACAUUCAUGAGAUUAAUGAACCACAUACUUAGACCUUUUUUAGGAAAAUUUGUCGUUGUGUAUUUUGAUGACAUACUGAUUUAAAGCAAAAAUUUGAAUGAUCAUGUUGGGCAUGUUAAAUUAGUAUUGGAUGUGUUAAGGCACGAACGACUCUUUGCUAAUCUUGAAAAAUGCACCUUUUGUAUGGAUAAGCUUGUUUUUUUUUGGGUUUUGUGAUAAGUUCUAUAGGAAUCCAUGUGGAUGAGGAGAAGGUAAAGGCAAUUAAAGAAUGGCCUAUCCCUAAAACUGUUUCUGAGGUAAGGUCUUUCCUUGGGUUAGCCGGUUUCUACCGCAGGUUUGUUCGUAACUUUUCCACAAUUGCUUCGCCUUUGACUGCACUUAUUAAAAAGAAUGUAUCUUUUCAUUGGACAGAUAAACAAGAAUUAGCAUUUAAUGAACUUAAAGAUAAAUUGUGUAAUGCUCCUAUUCUUGUUUUACCUAAUUUUGAAAAGACCUUUGAGAUUGAAUGUGAUGCUUCUGGUGUAGGUAUAGGUGCCGUCCUCAUGCAAGAUAGUAAACCACUAGCCUACUUUAGUGAGAAACUUGGUGGAGCACAUUUGAACUAUUCGACCUAUGAUAAAGAGGUGUAUGCCUUGGUAAGGGCAUUAGAAGUUUGGCAACAUUACCUUUUACCAAAGGAGUUUGUGAUUCACACUGACCAUGAAUCACUUAAGCACUUAAAGGGACAAGGUAAGUUGAACAAGCGACAUGCGAGGUGGGUUGAAUUCAUUGAAUCUUUUCCUUAUGUUAUAAGGUAUAAGAAAGGUAAAGAUAAUAUUGUGGCUGAUGCUCUAUCAAGGAGGUACACUUUACUUAGUACUUUGCAUACUAAGUUAUUAGGUUUUGAGUAUCUCAAAGAUUUAUAUGUCAUUGAUUCUGAUUUUGCAAGCAUUUAUGACGCAUGUGAACAUGGUGCAUUUCACAAAUUUUAUAAGUAUGAUGGCUAUCUUUUUCGAAAUAAUAGACUAUGCUUACCAAAGUGUUCAAUGCGAGAAUUGUUGGUUCAAGAGGCUCAUAGUGGUGGUCUUAUGGGUCAUUUUGGAGUCACUAAGACUUAUGAUGUUUUACAUGAGCAUUUUUAUUGGCCUAACAUGCAAAAACUUGUUGAGAAAAUUUGCUCUACUUGCAUUACUUGUAAACAAGCUAAAUCCACUGUGAUGCAUCAUGGUCUAUAUACUCCUCUUCCUGUUCCUAGUUCACCUUGGACUGACAUUUCAAUGGAUUUUGUAAUAGGUUUACCAAGGACAAAGCAUGGACGAGAUAGCAUCUUUGUGGUUGUGGAUCGAUUUUCUAAAAUGGCUCAUUUCAUUCCAUGCCAUAAAACUGAUGAUACAACCCAUGUUGCCGAUCUAUUUUUCCGUGAAAUUGUGAGAUUACAUGGAAUCUCAAGGACUAUCAUUUCCGAUAGAGAUGCAAAAUUUCUUAGUCACUUUUAGAAGGUGUUAUGGGGUAAGUUAGGUACUAAACUACUUUACUCUACUACAUGCCACCCUCAAACUGAUGGUUAAACCGAGGUGGUAAAUCGAGUUUUGGGAUCUUUGCUUAGAGCCAUAAUAGGUAAGAAUGUUAAAUCUUGGGAAGAAUGGAUACCCUAUGUUGAGUUUGCUUAUAAUCGUUCUGUUCAUUCUUCCACAGGUUUUACUCCUUUUGAGAUUGUAUAUGGCUUUAAUCCACUUACUGUUUUAGAUUUGCUUCCUUUACCUUUGAAUGACAUUGCUAAUUUAGAUGGUGAAAGGAAAGCUGAUUUAGUGAAAGAGAUCCAUGAAAAGGCUCGUAAAGCCAUUGAGAAAAAGAAUGAGUCCAAUGCACAUCGAGCUAAUAAAGGGCGAAAGCAAGUCUUGUUUGAACCUGGAGAUUGGGUAUGGGUGCAUAUGAGGAAAGAACGAUUUCCUUCUAAGAGAAAGAAUAAACUUGAUGCACGAGGAGAUGGACCAUUCCAAGUACUCGAGAAAAUAAAUGACAAUGCUUAUCGCAUUGAUCUUCCUGGUGAGUAUAGUGUUAGUGCUACUUUCAAUGUUUCUGAUUUUUCUCCUUUCAAAUUUGAUGUAGGUUCGGAUUCGAGGACGAAUCUUCUUGAAGAGGGGGAGAAUGAUACGAGCCAAGGAGGUGACACUCAAUGGGUUGUUUUUCCUAGUGGUCCAAUCACUCAAAGCAAGACAUGACAAUUAAAAUCAAAGAUGAAUGCUUUUGUCCAAGACUUUGUUGCUACAAAUUUAAUUCAUCAUGUUCGUGACAUUGACAAAUACGGGAAUGCAAUUCACUGGACCAAUCUUGGAAUAGUGAAAGCCCAUAAAUUGGUGGAUUAAUCUUUUAUGUAUCUUAUUAUUAUUAUUUACUUAAUUCUCAUUGGUUGGGACACAUCAUUUAUGAGUUAAGUAAUUUUAUUGGUUAGGUUAUUAUUUAUUUAUUUUCUUAGAUAAUUUUAAAGAGUUUUAUUAGGAUUCAAUUACUCUUUAAAGAGUUUUUAUUAGGAUUCAAUUACUCUUGUAAUUUGCCUAUAAAUAGGCUUGUUUUCUACACAUUGGGGGAGAAUAAAAAGAGAGUAUUUGUUUUCUUCCAAAUUUGUGUGAGGUAAAUUUUUGAGAGUAGAGUGAUUCUUCUCUUGCUGUUUAGUUUGGAGUUUGUUACUUUCGAGAGUAUUUCGGAGUUACAAAUAUUCAAAUUUCUUUCCCGUUCAUCGGUGUUUCUAGAGGUUCUUCUUCUAGGGGUUUCGUAGGGAGCCGCUCAAUCAUUGGCGUUUUUGGUUACAAGUUAACCAAGGGUUCCAUAGGGCAAAUCUAUCCUUUUAUUAUUAUUAUUAUUAUUAUUUAACUAAUUUUAUUUAUUCUCGUUUUAUUUCUAAUUUGUGUUUCUCUUGUGUCUAGAUCCGGGGUUUUCGCAUCAAUUCAUCUUUUCCAAGCAGGUUAAUCAUUCUUAAUAUGAGCUUCUCCAGAACCAUUGCAUGGUUCAAGAAAUAACUAAUCAUUUCAAACGCAUAUUUGCUUCCAUCAACUCCUGAAAUUUUGAUCUCCUUGACAUGAAAUAACAAACAAGAAGGUAUAGGUAGUAACCUCAAUCCUUCUUCACCAUCAGCCUAAACUCCCACACCGAAUAAAAAAAGAAAUGUUAGUUGGUUUGUAUGCUGCAAUUUUGGAUGUAAUUAUCGCUAAACAAAUAAGAGCACUUAGAGAACUCUUCAUACCAGAUCCAGAAUAAGGGUCUUUAGAUUAGGCACAUUAUGUAGAAACUCCACAAGCCGCACUCAUUUCCGAUAACAAUAGUAAGAAUGAAAUUCCAAUUCAACAAGAUUGUGAAAUACAAGCUUUGGAUCAAGACGCGUUCGAAAAAACUGCACACCAAAACUUGGAACUAUUAUAUAAUCUUAAAAGACAAGUUCGAUAUUCAAUAACAGUUUACUAACCGUUUCAUUAAAAGCUUCAAUGGCUAAAUGUAGAGACUGUACAUUGCAGAUUCCCUGAAGAAGCUGAGUAGCACUUCGUUCACUAUGCACUUCAUGGAAAUGAGAGAUACUAAUCUCAGCUUUUACUAGAGACUUCAUGUUACUUAAAGUAUAGCCUUUGCCUACUAUGCCAGUAUAUUCGAAAUAGACAAGACUUGGAGCAUCAAUCGCCAUCACAUAAUCAUAAUCUCUUACACAAACGUGUUCAAAACAUAAAAUCAGUCUCCUAAGCAAAAGAUUAUGAAUAUUGAGCUCACUUAUGCUAUGAAAACAACAAUCAUAGAUAGUUAAAUCUUCUAAGACAUGGCAAUUGGAAAUUAACUUGAGAAUUGAAUAACCAUCUUCGAAUGCUAAGUUUGUAAGGCAUAGGUUCUUGAGAUUUGGUAAACAAGCAUUAGUUGGAAUCUUCAUGUCAUCUUUGAUGUGCAAGAACAGUGUGAGAGUCACCAGUGAGUGAGAAGUAAAUAGAAGAGUGGGCAAAACUGGAACCUUCUCGUUUAUGAAAUUAAUGCCAAUAUUCUUAAGACCACGAGACAGUGCAGUAGAUAUCCAACCAUAAAGGGGUACAUAAUCAUCCUCAUCAUCCACAAAAUAGUCAUUCACCCAAAAGGAUUCUAAAUGGACCCGCUCUCUGGGAUUAAAAAGUAAUGUAUCAACAAAAUUCAUGAAGUUGUUAACAUCUUCCUCAUACAGAUUUUUUAAGCAGUGUUCAAAAUCAAGGAUAGAUAUAGAGGAAGCAAAGAGAUACUUCCACCUGGUUGAAAGAAUAGAAGUUCGAACUGCUUCUUUAUUGGGAAGGAAGGACAAAAUGUGUGAAAGAAUAGAGUCAGGCAAAUUAUUGAUCCUAUCUAAGACACCCACAGUUUCUGGUUGCUGUCGCCUCCCCAUACUCCUCCCACCCGACACCACUUUUCUUGCUUCGUCUUUUACUCCUCCGUUUUAUCCCUAAAAUUUUCUGCUCUGCUUCUUUGCGAUUCCCACAUAAUUCUGUAAUUUUCCCUCCCAAUUACUGUCAACCCGAAUCUCUGCGGCGUUAGAGUGUAGUUUGGGGUCUAAAUUCUUUAGAUCAAAUCAGUGUCACGUUGGCCCAAUCCUUUUGGGUUUCAAGGGAUUCGGGCUAGGUUGAUAAACUCAAAAUAUGAAAAAAAUAAGUGUUUUUUUACCUAAAUAAUAUAAAAUAAUUAAUUAAUUACUGAAAUAGAAUAGAAAAAAUUUAUUUACGAAAGCAUUCCCUACAGUAAUCCACCCACUUCUCCCAAUCAUUGUGGCAUGAUUAGAUUUUAGAAAAAAAUAAUAUUUUUUUGGUGUCAACACUCAGUCAGACUAUACUGGUGUGUAUUUUCUAGAAAAUACCCAUAUUUCUUUGAGUACUGUCGCCAAUGUGUCAGAUGCCACCAGAAAUAUUUUUUUUUAAAAAAAAUUUAACGAUUGAAAAUUUUGAAAAAGGAGAAAAAGAAAGUGAAAUAAAAAAAAGCUUCAAAAGUCGAAUAAGAUGUAAUGCCCGUGGCUAACUGGUCACAUCGAUUGCAGACCAUCAGAUCGGUGCUGUCUGACUGUUAUUAUAAUUUUACAAGUGGAAACACAUUUGCUACUUCAAGUAUUUGUUUAUGGGUUAAAAUGUAAAUUUUACACCGAAAUAUUAGUAAAAUUCACACUCAACUUUUAAAGUUUGACCAUUAAAUUUUAAAUUUUAUUGAAUAUUUCCACCAACCUUGAUCUUUUAACUAAAGUUUAUCAAACAAUGUUAAUUUUGAUGAUUUGAAAAUAAUUUUUUAAUAAAAAAUAAAUAUUUCAAUAUUUUAUUUUAGUAAUUAAAAAGAAGUCGUUGUAUUCCUUUUGGCACGUGGUUUUUGUUUUCUUUGUCCUUUGUUCGGUUUGUUUGUUUUCAGAUCAAUUUUUUACGUUUUUGCGCAGUAACAGUGGUUUAUUUUUGCUGAGCUCGUCAAUGGAAGAUGAUAUUGCAGGCUUGUCCCUUCGUGAUGAUGAAGAUGAAGCAUGGCCAAUGGUCGUUGGGGGUUCUCAUAACGAGUCUAGGUUUGAGUUUUCUCUUGUUGGUUGUUUCCUCACGACGAGUGUAAUCCGUUUCGAAGCAAAGCGAAUGACGAUGGCAAACCUAUGGCACCCACUUAGGGGUAUUACAAUUUCUGAUUUGGGAAAAAAUGGUCUCUAUUUCGUUUUUAUGCGGAAGUGGAUAUGUAACACCCCUAACUCGUACCUGUCGCUAGAAUAGGAUUUCAGAGCAUUACCGAAUAAACGUUACUUAAAUCAUUCAUUUCAAAACAUUUCAAUAAUCACAACAUAAUCCAUCAUUAAUCAUGGAUAUCGUCCCUUAUUCAAGCCCUCGAGACCUUAGAAUCACUUUAGAAAUGAUUCGGGACUAAAUUGAGAACAUUUGAAAAUUUGAGAAAAAGGUUAGAAAAAUUUAACUAUAGGGGUCACACGGCCGUAUGGCCAGGCUGUGUGACUCACAUGGCUAAGACACACACCCGUGUAACUUUCUAAAUAGGGACACUCGGCCAUGUCCCAACCCGUGUCCGUGCCCGUGUAACUUUCUAACUUGGGUCACAUGGCCAAGCCACACGCUCGUGUGUCAGGCCGUGUAACUCUCAAAAUGGCCUCACACUCUCGUAUGCCAGCCGUGUAUCUCACACGGCCAAGUCACAUGCCUGUGUGUCUGGCCGUGUGAACCUAAAUUGUACCUUAAACAACAAGUUUACCAUUUCCUACUUAGUUGGACAUUAAGCAACUAAAAGACCAUUCAUUUAACCUAUUCAAAACACGAUCAACCAUACUCAAAAAUACGUCAAAACAAUCAUCCUAGGUACCUAACCAAUGUACCCUCAUUAGUACAACAUUUAUAUCAUCAAAACAUAUCAUCAAUGCAUCAUUCAAAUCAAUAUUUUAAGCACACCAAUUCAUUCACUUUAACCAACUUAUAACUACCUAAAAUAUCAAGCUUAAGUUCACAUACACUUCACAAGCAAUGGUUCCAAAGUAACAUGGUAAUUUAUGGCUUCAAACACAAACAUAUAUUUAUAUACUCAAAGCAACAUUAUAAUUAUAACUCUAUUUACAAUCCAUUCAUAAAAUAACUAUCAAUUAAGACAUCCUAGGUACAUGCCAUCACAAAAAGUAAACAUAACCACAUUUGAGAUUGGAACCGUUUUUAGAUGCUGAGCCAACGAUCAAAAGAAAAGUACCUAACUUGUGCAUGUAAAACCCAGUGAUUUCUAUAAUCUAAACAAUUAAAGACAUAAGGAUACAAGAAUGCAUAACUUGAAUUAUACAAACAUAUUAUUGUAUAAGCUUACCAUUACCAUAUACCAUCAUUUAAAGUUCAAGCAUAUUACCAUAUCAUUUCAUACUAUACUCAAUUUUCACAUACUAUCAUAUUUGAUUUGUUAAACAAAUAUCUCAAUUCACAUCACUUGCUAUAUAAAUAGUUUUUCACAUAUCAAUCCACAUUUCAUUUAAUCAAUGGCAUUAUCCGUUCCAUAUUUAAUUCAUGAGUACAAAACUCAUAUAUUCCAUUUGUUCACAACAUAUUUCACAUUUCAUUUUCAAUCUACUAUCUCAUUUCCAUUUCACGUGUCAUGCCAUUUCAAUAUCAAUUAUAGAACUUUAUUAUUUAUUUAUCCCUAUUAACACGACUCAGACUCGGACGGAUACACCGAUCCAACCAACACACCAGUUUGGCACCCAGUGCCUCAUCAACUCGAAGUCGAAGAAAUCCCUAAACUCUUCCUAUCCUAUGGCAUGCCAUCUAUAUCCGACUCAGCCCGAUACAGUUAAUAUGGUUUCAUUUCACUUUUCAAAUACAACCAAUAUCCAAUACUUAUAUUUGCACAUUAUCAUAUUUACACAUAUAUUCAUUUCAAUUCAAAUAAUCACUACAUUCAUAAUGUAUAUACCAAUUCAAUCCAUUUCAAUCAACUACAAUUUCAAUUCACUAUCAAAGUGCCAAAAUACUCACCUCAACCACUUACCAUAUGCACUAAAUCAAAAUACAACAAUUAAUAACUAGGUUCGGAUUAUAGAAAUACAAACUGUGGAUUCCAAACUAUUCGACGUCGAUUUUAUCCUUCCCCAUUUUAGUCGAGGAUUCCAGUACGACUUAGCUACGAAAUUAAAACAAUUAAAAUGCAUUAAUACUACACAAUUCAAUUCCACAUUGAAUAUUUCAAUUUUAACUCAAAAUUUUCUUAAAUUUCAAUUUAGUCCCUAAACCAAGACUAAUUUUUAUUCUUCACAUUUAAUCCCAUAUUUUUAUACUAAUUUCACUUUAAACUAAAUUUAGCUCCCUGUUUUCAAUUAAACCCUUAAAUUUCAAAACUUUUACAAUUUAGUCCCUAUUACUCAAAAUUUACAAUUUGUUCUACAAUUUAAUCAUUUUUCAUUUCUAGCUUAAAAAUCUAUCAAUUAAAUCACUAGUACUAAAACUAUUUAACAAUAGAAAUAUCUAAAAUCUUAAUCAAUUUUAAAAUUUUGACAUGGGUCGAGUAGUACUUAACACCGAAAUUCCAAAAAUAUAAAAAUUACAAGAAAAAGAACUAAAUUGACUAACCAAUUUUAAAUUUGAACCCUAAAGUCCCUAUAGUUGUGCGUCUUUCUCCUCUUUUCUUUCUUUCUCUUUUCUUUCUUUUCUUUCCUAUUUAAUUUGCAUGUUCUUUUACUUUCUUUUGUUUUGUUUUAUUAUAAUAAUUAUCAUUAUUAUAUAAUACAUAUAUACAUAUCAAUUUCAUUUUAUUAAUUAUAAUAUAUAACUUAUAUAUAUUAAAAUAUUAUAUAUGCAUAUAUGCCCCAUUAAUGCUGUCCACUACAUAAUAUAAAGGUAUAUUUACCAACCCUAAACCCUCAAUUGAUUUUAUAAAUAUAAUUCAACUUUUACUCUAAACGUGAUUUAGUCCUUAUACUAUAAUAACUCUUAAUUCAUGCAAAUUCACUUAACCUAAAUCAAAUUAACUACAAAAAUAACUUCGUAAAUAUUUUUAAAAAAUAUUUACUAGUUCGAUUUACAAGAAUCGAGUCCCGGGAAUGCACUUCCCGACACUCUUGACUAUAGGAUCGUUAUAGGAUAUUGCUCGAGUUCUCUAGGGUAGUCCUUGGACUUUUAAUAAUCAUUUACUUGUGUUCCAUCGUUUGUUACCAGGGGAGGACCGUCUUCAAGUGCCCUCGUGUUUCAUUGAUUUUUGGGUGCAGGUUCAUCAUGUCCCUCUUGGCUACUAUUCUGAAGAUAGGCUAAGCAAUUUGGGAAUUUUAUUGGGACUUUUUUAGUAUUUAAUUCUACCAAUUUUACUUUUGGAUCUCAUAAUUCCUUGCGGGUUCGUGUGAAGAUGGAUGUCCGACUUCUUCUAAGGCACAAGAAAUGUCUUAUUUUAUCUUCUCAACAGAGAGUCUAUAUACAAUUUCAAUAUGAACGAUUGCCGCUUUUUUGUUUCCUAUGUGGGAAAUUGGGACACAAUGAAAGCUUCUGCCAUGUUCGACUGACUAUUGGCAUUAAAGAUGUUCCUUUGGGUUGGGAUAUUUCUUUACGUGCACAACAACGUUGUCGACAGCCCCAACCUGGUGUUUGGUUGCAUCUUACACCAGAGAAACGGGGAUUGAGUUUGGGCGGGCAUUCUAGUGUGCAUGGUUCACAUCUUUCACAUAUUUCUACUUCGACCUUUGUGCAAGAAGUUAGCAAUAACUUGGGUCUUACCUUAGACAAGUCCCAGCCUAAAGGAAUUUCGAUUGGGUCUAGGGAUGCAGAUAAUUGAUUUAUCGUCAUAAUUGAAUUUACACAAUAACAUUCAUUAACUACGAUUGGUUUAAGUGGCAAGAAAUGGACUCGGUUCUCUUUUAUAGUCUCUGUUGUUUCUACAAGUUUGGAUUUGACACAGACUCCUUUGACUUUUGAUGCGGCUGGCUCAACCACGCAGGGUAGUCGAUCAUUAUGAAUCUGAUCAGUUGGAAUGUCCGUAGUUUGGGGAAUCCACGAACGUUCAUUGUGUGCAGAAUAUGCUACAUAAAUACAAUCCUCAAGUUUUCUCUCUUAUAGAGAUGAAACUUGACGCUCAGUGGAUGGAUCGGGUGCGUCACUAAUUUGGUUUUCUCUGUGGCAUUGAUAUUUCAACUUCUGGUAGUAGGGGUAGACUUUCGCUAGGUUGGAAACUGGGCUGUCAAGUUCAGGUUCAGGUUCAGUUUUAGAGUUAUUCGGGUCACCAUAUCACUGUGGUUGUUGUUGAUAAUGUUACUAGGUCAAGUUGGAGAUUCACAGGAUUUUAUGGGUCUCCCAAAAAUAGGAUAGAUUUGACUCUUGGCAUUUACUUUGGGAUUUAGGCAGACAUUCUGGUUUUCUAUGGCUGGUGGCUGUGAUUUCAACGAGAUUGCUUAUACCUUUGAGAAGCGAUAGGGGCAUCUUCGCUCUGAUCAACAGAUGGAGGCCUUUCAUUCAGUUUUGGAUAGUUGUGAGCUUCAUGAUCUGGAUUUUGAGGGGCGUUGGUUCACUUGGGAAUGAGGUCAAUUUUUAGACACUAAUAUUUACGAAUGAUUGGAUCGUUGUGUUGUUACUCUUCCGUCAAGGGAUUGUUUUCUUGCUUCGAGGGUUUUUCAUGCUCCCCACUCCGUUUUUGAUCAUUGUUGUUUGGUCAUUAUAGUUGUGGCUUUGCUUUCAAGGUUUUUUUCUAGACAGUUGGAAACAGUGUUUCAUUUUGAGUCUCGUUAGGUUUUCGAGCCUUCUUAUUAAGAGGAGAUCCGAAGUGUGUGGACUUCAAGUACAGGGUCAGUUCCUAUUCAAUUGGGUUUGUUGGGGGUUGCUUUGUCUACUUGGGGAUGAACACUUCAUAGAAAUAGGAGCCAGUUUGUUUGACAGGCUACAGCUCAGUUGGAACGAUUACAUCAAGUCGAUUCCUCCGAUGACAUCUUGGCCGAGAGCACCGAGGUCAAAUUGGCUCCCAAUAUAGAUGCUGAUAAAGAGGAAUUGUUCUAGGGCCAACGGGCACGGGUGAAUUGGCUGCGUUAUGAAGAUUGAAAUACAUCGUUCUACCAUAAAUUUUCCACUUUUUAGAAGCAGAUGAAUUCAAUAACUUCUUUGGUGGUUGAUAAUGGUCGUACUUGUACAGACAUAAAUGCUAUAUUUGGGGUUACCACGAGAUAUUUUUAGGGCCUUUUUAUUUCGUCUAGACUGAUAAAUUUUGAUCAUUUUUUGAACGACAUUAAUGUGCGUAUUACUCCUUCAAUGAAUAGGGUUUUGCUCUCUGAUUUUACAUCUCAAGAGAUUAGGUCUGCUAUUGACAAGAUGUCCUUUGAAAGCCCGGGAAAAGGAUAGAUUCCUGGCCUUGUUUUUCUAGAAGUAUUGGUAUAUUAUUGGCGCUGAUCUCAUAGAUUAUUGUUGCAGGUACUUCGAAGGGAGCUCCCUUUUUUUAUAUUAAUGCCACAAAUCUCAUUCUUCUUUCCAAUGUGCGCAACCUUAUGCAAAUGUCACAAUUUCGCCCGAUUAGUCUCUGUUCCGUCUUUUACAAGAUUAUUUCUACAGUCCUAAUGAACAUGUUUAAAAGGUUUUUGUCUUUUUGUAUUGACGAGGUACAGAGUGUGUUCGUCCCUAAAUGUUUUAUCACUGACAACUUCCUAAUUGCUUAUGAAGUGCUAUAUUCUUUUAAACACAAGUGACAUGAGGUAGUUGGUUCUUUUGCACUUAAGCUUGACAUGAGCAAGGCCUAUGAUCAAGUCGAGUAGGAUUUUUUAGAGGCUAUCAUGUUAUGUAUGGGAUUCGAUUCGAAUUGGGUUUCCUCAAUCAUGGCUUGUAUUCAUACGUUUCUUAUUUGGUGGUUCUCAAUGGCCAUUCGGGAGAAUCUUUUCAGUCGAUGCGGGGUCUUCGUCAAGAAAAUCCUUUGAGUCAUUUCCUCUUUCUGUUCUGUGGAGAGAACUUUCUUCUUUUUUCUGAUUGGCCAUAUUAAAGGGUUCUUUUAGGGGUGUGCGUAUUGGUUGUACAGGUCAUCGUCUGACACAUCUUUUUGCAAAAGAUUGUAUGAUUUUUGGACCAUCAUCUACUAAGAGUACUACUACGGUCCACUCUAUUUUGCAAGGAUAUGGGCGAUGCAUUGGACAGGUGGUGAAUUUUGAUAAAUCGGCUAUUUCUUUUAACAUGAAUCUGGAACAUUUUAUCAGUUCUAGCAUCAUGCCAGUUUUGGGUGUACGUACCAUUUAUCGGAUGGAUAAAUAUUUGGGACUUCCCCUAAUGGUUGGAAGGAGUAAGCGGGAGACUUUCUAGCAUUAUAAGGAUCACUUUCAUUGGUAUGUUGAUAGUUAGAACCUACGUUACUUAUCUCAUGGUUGUAAGGGUGUUUUUAUACAUUUUAUUUUGUAAGAAAUCCCAACGUUUGCAAUGUAAUGUCUUUUUUUUCCUUCAUCCCUUUGUAGGACACUUGAAGGUAUUAUGAGUAGGUUCUGGUGACAUAAAUCAAGGAGUCAAUGGGAAAGUCAUUCAUAUUCUUGGUCUACGUUGAGUGCAUCUAAGUGUGAUGGGGGUAUGGGCUUUCGAGAUUUGGCUCAGUUUAAUAUUGCACUCUUGGCUAAGCAGGGUUAACACUUAUUAAUAGAUCUGGAUUGUUUUAUGAGUCAGGUUUUAAAAGUGUAUUAAUUUUCUACUGUUGAUUUUUUUAGAGCGGACUUAGGGUCUCGCCCUUCUUAUAUCUGAUGUAGUAUCUGGUGCUCUCUGGGUUUGUUAGAAAAGGGUCUCGAUUGGCGGGUGGACAAUGGUCUCUCCAUCUCCAUAUAGAAUGAUUAUUGGCUCCCAUGCAUUGUUUCCGGUCGUAUCGUACACUCAUUUGUUACUACUAAUGUUACUUGGGUGGGUGAUUUGAUGUUACAGGAUUUGGCUCAAUGGAAUCAUACCUUGGUCCGUGUGUUGUUUUCGACCGUUAAGACAGAACACAUUCUAAGCAUUCCCCUCUCUCGUUCGGCUGGUGAUGAUUUGAUGCUCUAGAUAGGUGAUUCGAUAGGUUUUUACUCCAUUCGUAGUGGUUAUAGGUUGCUUUAUUGGCCUAUGCAACAAAUCUCUAUUUCAUAUAGUCCCUCUAACCCACUCAGUUCACGUGAUUUGUUUACAAAUAUUUGGAAGGUUCGGGUCCCUCCUAAAGUUCAUAUAACAGUUUGGAGAUUCCUUUGCAAUUAUGUACCCAUGUUACACAACCUUUACAAUCGAUACAUCACUACCACACAAUUCUGCCCUAGAUGCCUAAAUAUACCUAAAACGUCUAUUCAUGUGUUUCGGGACUGCCUUUUUUGCCAUUUCAGUUUGGAAACGACUGCUCAUAUCCUAGGUUGGUACCUACAAUGAUUUGGAUCUUUUGAGUUGGUUGGGUUUUCUUUGUCGACCACUUACUUGGGACAACUUAGCACUUAUCCUUACCACGAUUUGGGCACUAUGGUGGUCGCGCAACAGGUACUAUCACGAGGGCCUUGGUUAGACGUCUCUUGAGUUGGUCUGUUUUAUUUGAUCCAACAUAGGUAGCCUAUUGGUGCUGGCCGUGCCAAGAGUGGUUCUGGGGAUUUUAUGUACUGCAGGCUGGCAUCGUCCGACCACACCUCUGGUUAAGGCCAACUUCGAUACUGCGUAUAGAGAGGGGUCACACUCUUCUUGCUCGGGGCUGGUGGUGCAAAAUACCCAGGGCUUGGUGUUUGCCGCUUGCACUAGGAUCCAUGGUCUUGCCUCGUCGGCUUUUGCUGCAGAAGCGUUGGCUCUCUUAUUGACUUUAGAAUUCACUCGGGACCAUGGUCUAUCUCGGGUCUUGUUUGAAGGGGACUCUCUGCAUGUGAUUCACAAACUCAAUAACACACAAGCUGACUGUUCAGAGAUUCGAGCACUUGUUACAGAAGGGAAGUUGCGAUUAAUUACCUUUUUUUGAAACGGCUACAGUUUACUAUUAUUUCAGAUAGCAGAAUUGGGUUACUCACCAACUCACGGCGUUGGGAUUUUGCUAGACAUCGGACCGUUUCUGGGUUGAGGAGGUUCUGUUUCAGGUGGAAGGUGCGAUGGCUACGGACAAAGGGUCGAAUGCUCAUCUGCCUUAAUUUCACCGCAUGCCUUGGGCUGGAACUGUCGCAUCUCUCUACUUGUCCUUGUUGUGUCUUAUUUUCUCUCUAUUGUCGUGCCUGCAAGCUUAUCGGAUUUGGAUUUGGGAUUUUCGGCUUCCAUCAACUGUUUAUGGUGUAGCCUUUCGCGUUUCUUUUUCUUUAGUAUUUUAUUGUUUGUAUUUGGACAUAAUGCAGUUUGUUGCUUUUUUCUUUGGACUUGGACCUCACCUAUGCAGGUCUAUUUUUCUCUAAUACUCUAUGGAAGCCAUUUUCAAAAAAAAAAACUUCAUCACUUUACCUUUACUUUAUUAAAAUUUUUCUUUGAAAUUUGAUUUUAAUUUAAUUUUCCUAUUCAAUUUUAAUUUAAAAAAAUUUGAAGAGAAAUCAAUAAAAAAAUAUACUUGAUUUUACUAUUUAAUAGUAAUAAGAUAGUUAAUAUAAUAUUAAAAUUAAUAAAAUUGGUUAUUUUAUUAAAAACUUUUAUAAAAUUAAAGGAUAGAAAGUAAAGAACAAAGAGAAUGAGAAAGCAAAGAGAAAGUGUAUUUUAUUGAUCAAUCGGAAUAUUUACAAAGCUUCUUCAAAGUCUCUAUUUAUAGGCAUAAACAAUAUAAAUGAAGUAGAGAUCUACUUCUAAUGACUAUUAGAAUUUACAAUACAUCAAAACUUAUCUUGAUCUUGAUGGACAUCCACUUAAUAAGAUAUUCAUAACACUCCCCCUUGGACGUCCAUUGGUAGAUAAUGUGUCUUGUUAAAACCUUACUAAGAUAAUAACCCUGUGGGAAAAAAAAUUCCUAGUGAAGGAAAAAGAGUACAAAUAACUUUAAUACACAUAAUAUACCGCCUCAUUAAAACUCUCACCAAGAAAGCCUAAUGGAACAAAACCUCGGUUAAGGGAAAAAGAGUACAUCGCGUAUUUACUCCUACUCAUGAAAACAUCACAUCCUUUCUUGUAUUCUACUUAUUCAAUCUUGAAUACUAGUCUUUCGAAGGACUAUUUGAAUGUAUCUACUAAGCAUCUAUAUCACCAUUCUUUUGAAAUUCAUGAGUGAGGGAAAAUUUUGGGGGAAAUAUAUUUUGAUCUCUUCUGGAGUUUCAACAAUAAUCAUAGCAAACUUUAAUCAUGAUUCUUCUAUUAAAACACAAAUAGGUAUUUUGAAUCAUUUUAUAAUCCUCCUCCAACUACUGUUCACUAAAUCGAAUUUACAACUUAUAUUCAAAUUAUUUCAAUUCACAUAAAUGAACAAUUUUUUUGAGAAUUUCAAUAUGCUUCUAGCAUCCUAAAUCUUUCAAGGAUUUUAAUAUAAACUUUACUGUAUAGUGAUUCAUAAAAGGUUGUAACAAUAACCAUUAGACGCAAGUUAAAUAUUUUAUGAAUUUUCAAUUUAAUAAUAUAUCUUAAGGUUAUUGUAUCCACCACAAAAGAAUAUUAUAUCUUUUCAUAAUCAAUGCCAGAGCUUAACAAAAAACUUCAUAUUUUUAUUCCGCUUUUACAAAACUACUUCCUUUGUACCUAUACCGACUUUAUAACUUUAGAUAUUUGGACUACUGGUCCAAAAACUCCACGAAUUUAAUUGUACUUGAGUUGCGUUUUUCUAUUUAGAAUAAUUUAUUAAAAAUAGAUUUAUUCAAGAUUCUCCUUUUAUUUCAUUAUUUCAACAUUAAUAUUGCAUGCAAAACCAUUGCCGGCUACUUUUAUUAUCGGUUCCACAUUUUCUCAAAUUGACAUAACGUAUCGAGAAUUCUUUAUAUUCACUAUUUUAAUCUUCAGUUUAAGGUACCUGAAUCUCUUCUGGAGUUUUACUUAUUAAUUAUGUCUUGGGUCUCUUCUGGAGCACCCGCCUCCACUAUAUGACCAUCUAGAAGAAUUUUCAUCUUUGGAACCGAUCAAGCUAUUAUUUAUUCAAACUUAUUGUCCUACUGGGAGUUUGAUUCAAAUUAAAAUAUUAGGUGAUAUAUAAAACUUGGUUAUUCUCAUUAAGUUUGUAAAUAUAUCUGAUAGUUAACUUGUAAUGAGUUAUCCUUGUUGAACUUCUGGUUCAAAUUACUCUCCCUCUAACUCAUUACAAGUUAUUAUUUCUCUUCCCCUAAUGUCGGGAAAACUAUCAAAUCAAAAUGGUAAUCACAAAUCGUGUCAUAAUUUAAUCUCCUAUACAUUGAAAACAUCUAAUAAUACAAAGAGACCUAUAAUUAAUAUAUAUUCUCAAUUUUCUUUGAGGAUUCACUCACCUUUAUGUGUUAUGUUGGAGCAAUUGGAACAUAUAUGUACAUACAAAAAUUCAAAGAUGAGAAAUAUUUAACUCUUGAUCAAAAACCAAUUGUAAUUGGGAGUAUUUAUAACUUAUUGGCUUGAUGCGUAACACAUAAAUUAACAUAAUCUCAUGUUGAAAUAGGAAGUUUAGUUCUCAUAAGUAAUGGUUUAUAAAUUAAUCAAAGGCGUUCAAUCAAUAAUUUCUCUAAACUAUUAUACGCAUAAAUAACAAACUUUUACAAAAGUAUUUCAAACUUAAUCAAUAAAUGAUUGAGAUAUAAACUCAUUAGUAGUAGCAAGGUGAAUUGUCAUAAUUGCAUGAUCUGAAAUUAAUUAUUUAAACAAGCAAUCUUGCAAACGACAGGCUGCAAGUUAAUAACACAUAUGUGAUUAUUUUGUAGAUGCAUCUAACCAAAUCGUAUAAUAUCAAAACCAUCCACAUGGUGGAUGAAUGUGCCCAUAUUCAUUUUAGAAAUACAAGACAUUAAAUCUUAACUUUAGCUAGUGAGUUUCUAACAAUAAAUUUUCAUUGAGAAUAAGCAACAAACGAGAAUUAUUUAAAUUAAAGAAUCUUCUAGUUCUUUAAUUAAUGUCCAUAUGAAUUCUUAAUUAAUUUUCGCAUCAUAUAUAAUCCAGGAUGGUCUAACUUGUCACACCAAGUAGUAAAUGCAUUUAUAUCAGUAAACUUCUAGUUUACUUUAGCAUGUGUUACAAUCGUACUAAAUUGUAACAAGUUGAUAAUUUUACUAUCAUUCAUUUUACUUUGUAUGUAACACCUCACCUGGCCUAGACGUUAUGGUUGAAUCUGGCGAUGUCACAUGGAAAGGGAUUUGAAGACAAGAUUAUCGAGUUUAAAAACCAUCACAGUAAGUUAGCUUUUAUUUAAUUCGAAAAAAAAACUAGUUGAUUUGGUUUAAAACUUGUCUCUUAGCGGAAGCUUUUGUAACCAAUUAAUUUAGGAAAAAUCGUUUCUAUUUUUGAAAAACCUUAGCUUUUAGAAAAAAAAACCCGUGUUUUGUGGAGUUGCAGUUUAAAAAAAAUCCAUAAAAAAUAGUUUAAAGUCCAAAAUUUAAAGCCAACCAAUCCAUAGUCCAGAAGAUACAUCAAAAAUCCCAAAUAAGUAAUAAAUUCUAGGCAUUAACGGAAAAUAGUCUAAAAUUUACGUGUGGCCACCGUCGAGUCCUCCGCUGAACCGACUUGUCAAGUCUACAAAUUACUUGUACAGAUUAAAGAGAGAAAGGGUGAGUUUUCGCAAACUCAGUGUGUAAUCUUCACAGAAAACAUGCAUACAGAUCAUCAACAGAAUUCAGUUAGAUACGGUAUGGGGCCCGUGCCCAUCAUAGAAUCAGUUUGGGCCUUAGCCCAUUUAGAUACAGUCUCAGAAAUACAUUAGGGCCUUGGCCCAUAUCAGAUACAGAAUGUAGAUACAGUAAAUCAGAAUCCUACUCACCAGCCUCUACUCAACAUCUCUGUCCAACCCUACACACCAUAUGGGGAUUAAAUCAACCCACCCAUCCCUACACACCAUGCUAUACCGAAAUACGGCACAUAAUCAGAAGGUUGCAGCUGAGCUGCCAGAUAACAGGCUUAAUAGCUUUUUAGACACUUCCUCCAAAUAUCAUCAACCCACCCCGAUGCAAUGCAACAUACAAAAUAUGUCAUGCCAUUAUGAAAUUAAUAGUACAAACAUUAAGAUAUCAUAAGUCAUGUUCGGUAUAGAAAUCAGACAGACAGAUCACACAUAUAGGGGUCUAAGUAAAGCUUAUCGACCCUACAGUAGGUCCACAGUCGACUUGGGCAACCCGUGCAACCUUACAGAACUUUUCAGAAAAAUGGGUUCACACGCCCAUGUGGCCCACUCGGCCCAAAUUGGCCUUCGCCAUGUGAUCCAUAUUUAAUGUAACUCGUGCUAAUUAAUUAUUCAUAUAUGUUUUCACUAUUUACUUAUAUGUUCCUUUAAAGUUGUCUACUUGAGUCACUGUUACUAAAUUAUUUAUAUCUUGAGCUAAAAAAUUCCGAAUUAAGAUUCGCUUGAUAUCUUUAAAACUAGACUCAAAUACCUUUCUAUCAUAAAAUUUUCAGAAUUUUUGGUUUAGCCAAUAAAUACAGUACAAUCUUCAAACAUACCCCUGUUCUGCUAUCUGACAACUUCAUCCCUUCUUUGCUAAAAAUUAAUUAUCUCUUAGUAUAAAAUUUGGAUGAUGUUUCCAUUUGUUUCUAUUGAAACUCAUUAAUAAUUUAAACAUGUAAACUUUAACCCCUAAUUAUUUUUAUCCAAUUUUUGAUGAUUUUCCAAAGUCAGAACAGGAGAACCCGAAUUCAAUCUGACCUUGUCUCACAAAGUGUAUUAUACCCCACGAUUUACAAUUCCAUUAUUUACACCGUUUAUUCUAUGAGAAACUAGACUCAAUAAGCUUUAAUUCCAUAUUUUUUUCAUCCUCUAAUUUGGUUUCCACAAUUUAUGGUGAUUUUUCAAAAUUAGCCUACUGCUGCAAUCCAAACAACAAGCAAUUUCUUCUUUUCGCUCAAUCCCUUUCUUUCUGCGUUUCAAGUACACACCUGGUUUUGUUUAAUGCUAAAAUAGUCCUCGAGCACUCCAAAGCCUAUAAUCAAGACACUCAACAUUAAUUUAAUGAAUUUACAAGCGAAUAGACAACCAAGAACGAACCGAAACCCAACUUAUCACCAACGAUAACCCUCCGUCUAACUAUUGUUAAGAUGAGAACACUAAAUUCACCAGUCCGAGCCUCCCCCUACGCCCAAAUUGUAGAUAAAAAACAUUACCACUGCAGUCAUUAAGAGAUUCAUGACAGAAAUGAAAAGAAACACUUACCGAAACUAAGCGAGCACUAACCGCGUGCGAAAACGAAAGAAAAUAAAUGGAUGUGGGAAAAAUCAAGAAGAAGAAAAAGAAGAGA